rnacentral:tRNA from 1 species
GUGGCUCAAUAGUAGAGCACUUGCCUGGCAUGCAUGAGGCCCUGGGUUUAAUCCCCAGC